rnacentral:rRNA from 1 species
UACGUAGGGUGCAAGCGUUGUCCGGAAUUAUUGGGCGUAAAGGGCUCGUAGGCGGUCUGUCACGUCGGGAGUGAAAACUCAGGGCUUAACCCUGAGCCUGCUUCCGAUACGGGCUGACUAGAGGUAUGCAGGGGAGAACGGAAUUCCUGGUGUAGCGGUGAAAUGCGCAGAUAUCAGGAGGAACACCGGUGGCGAAGGCGGUUCUCUGGGCAUUACCUGACGCUGAGGAGCGAAAGCGUGGGGAGCAAACCGG